AGUGAACGCUGGCGGUAGGCCUAACACAUGCAAGUCGAACGGCAGCACAGAGGAGCUUGCUCCUUGGGUGGCGAGUGGCGGACGGGUGAGGAAUACAUCGGAAUCUACUCUGUCGUGGGGGAUAACGUAGGGAAACUUACGCUAAUACCGCAUACGACCUACGGGUGAAAGCAGGGGAUCUUCGGGCCUUGCGCGAUUGAAUGAGCCGAUGUCGGAUUAGCUAGUUGGCGGGGUAAAGGCCCACCAAGGCGACGAUCCGUAGCUGGUCUGAGGGGAUGAUCAGCCACACUGGAACUGAGACACGGUCCAGACUCCUACGGGAGGCAGCAGUGGGGAAUAUUGGACAAUGGCGCAAGCCUGAUCCAGCCAUACCGCGUGGGUGAAGAAGGCCUUCGGGUUGUAAAGCCCUUUUGUUGGGAAAGAAAUCCAGCUGGCUAAUACCCGGUUGGGAUGACGGUACCCAAAGAAUAAGCACCGGCUAACUUCGUGCCAGCCGCCGCCGUAA
rnacentral:rRNA from 1 species